CAGGGCCCUGGUUUCUUGCCCUGACAGGGCAGCAGGGCCUUCAGAUAGGCUAAAACACCUGGUUGUUGGUGGUGGCCAAUCAUUCUCUGGAUAAAUGU